UACUGUCUAUUAUAAACAUUAAAUAAAUGAGAAGAAGCUACUAGCGAAAGUUGUCUGUGAUAAAUAUUGACGUUUAGGACUAAACCCGGUUGAGCUUAUUGCUUCGGCUAUUAUUUAUUGCAAACAUACAAUUGAGGGAUAUAUUUUGUGUUGAGUGAUUCGAGUACUUUUGUACUGAACGUAAAAAUAGCCUGUUUUUUUGCAGGUCACCAGUUUAUUGAAAAAUGUAUCAGUUUGUUCAACGACGAAUUCGAACAAUAACGAUAUCAACAGCAAACUGAGAAACCGUAGGAAAGAUCAUGUCUGUCUAGAGAAGAACCAAUUUUAAAAUAUAAAGGAGGUUUAUUCAGUCUUGAAGCAGGUUUCAUGUGAUAUUUUAUAUUUCGUAAAUUUCGAGAGAAUUAAAUGCGAUAAGCACGCAGCCUGCAGUGUAUGUGCCUGUAGCAAUAGAAGUCUUUAUCCAACCCAAAACGUUAAGAUAGGAAUUGUUCUUUCUGUCCUUAACCAUUUAACUAAAUCCUAUUUAAGAGCAAAUUUGAUGUUGUAAUCUUUGCUAUAAUAUUGCUUCCAGCUUCUUACGCUAAUGACAACUGUCACUUGAGGUUCUUGCGGAGCUAGAAAAAAGGGGAAGACACAAAGUAAAAAAAUCUGGUGAUCGAAUUAGCAAAAGUGCUCCGAUGAAAUUGGAAUAGCCGUCAAGCAAACGUCAAUGAUCUAAUCCACUUUAAUUGUCAGCACGCUAUAAUCUCACGAAAAAGCUAUCAUUACUGAGGCUACAGUUAUCCUUCAAAUAAUAGACAACCAGCAUUAUCUACGGAACGGUUCAAUAUAGGAUCAGAGCUAAACACGGAAUUUGCUAGAUGCCUGCGCCGGUAUUUGUUUGUUGCAAUAGCUUUCAUCGUCAGUAUAGUAGCGGUAUCAUCGUUUGUUUCAACUAUUGUAAAGGUAAUAGCUAUGAUUCGGCGCAGACAAGUCUGUCGAUCAGCUGUCCAACAAGUGCAAGCCGAUGAACCCAAUUCGGUCGAAGAAUGGGAUUGCUGAUUAUUGGGCUGGGUGAUGAACAACCACCCCACGAUGAUGUAGCGAAUUCAAUCACAGUAGAAAUACUAAUGAUAACAUAUCCAAGAAAAGGUGAUGUCUGUGUCAUGUCGAUUUGUUAAUUACCAAUCAAUCGACUAACCAAUCAAUUAUUUAGUAAUGGCGCUAUUCUUGUGUGUUGGAAAAAUAUCACUAUAUGCAUAAAAAUACGUUCUGAAAAUUUUGCGCUGCAUCUGUAAUACAAGGCAAGCAAUCCUAUUCACCAUGUACUUUUAAAGUGUCAGUGUGGUUUGUGUAUUGAUGUAUUUAAUCAUACAUAUACAUCUUGGAUACCUUUGCAUUCCUUGUAUUUGAAAGUAAUGAAAAAAAGGCACUCUCUGUAAAAGCACAGCAAGCAGAUCGAGACUUAUGUUUGUUUUCGUAAUAACUAUAUAAACUAUUAACGAUACGGCUUAAUGACAUGUAAAGACAUGUUCUUUAAGUAAUCAUUGCAAGAGCAGUUGACCAGUCAAUGUUCCCAUUAUGUGCAUCAUCUGCGUAUAUUUAUGUGUGAGCCCAGUAUUUACGUUCAGGCGGGUUUUUGCUCUUUAUUCAACUUGUACGUCCAGUAACACACACACACACACACACACAUACACACACACCCACGUACACAUACACGCACACACACACACUGUCCAAUAAGCGUGUAUUUUGCUUUUAUCAUCAACAACAAGUCUCAACGGGCUGUGACUUUAUAGCGGCUAAAUCAACGAUCACCGUUAGCAUCAUAUAUGUAUCUUGUGCUAGGAACGCUGUGGAUUUCAAAAGGAAUAUUUUUUCGCUGUUAUUGGCGUUACAGGGGUCACAGAGGGGUCGCUUAACCGCUAUCAGUUGUGACAACGGCUACCAACCACUGCUAACAUGGCAUGUCAACAGAAUCUUGAGGGAUGCAAAUUGGCCCCACAGCUUCGUUUAAAAAGUGGCAAACAAGCCCCUUGAAUAUGAACGGGUUGACGACGCCCAGGGACAAAAGAAUUUGUGGCUUGAACACAACCAGCAGGCUCAAUUCUUCUUGUGUUAGUGCUAACGAUUCCUGCUAGCAGUGUUUGAGCUUUAAAAGCAACGAGUCUGACACUGUACUCGGGCAACCAUAUGAGCUUUUGUCUUUCGGCCAUUCGGGUUUGUCUGUGCUGAGACUUCCCAAAAGGAUAAGGACGAUCGACUUAUUUGUAAUGCAACGAAAAAAUAAUCGAAAUUAGGCAAACUUGCAAGCAAAUUUCGGAAGGAGUCCUUAUUUGCCGAAGGAAACAAGUUAACCUGUAACAGGUACACAUAAUGAAACGCUACGCAGUUUAUGGAUGCGAUGCAAUUUGUGAAACUCAUUCUGCUAGCGCAAGAUUUUUAGCUUGCUGUUGCUAGCUUAGACAUUUAGCCUAUGUACAGUAGUGACAGGUUAACCCGGAGUCGCCAGAUUACCAAAAGGAUCUGCCACUCCAAAUAACAUCUACGCAUGUCUAAGUGGGUUAACGUAAGGCGUUGACAUUUAAAUCCUCGCCCUACGGUAAGCAUUAUGUAAUAUUCGUGAUCGAUGAUAAUGGUUCUGUAUGUGAUUCGUUUUAUCGUCGGUUAUAUCAGUUAUAGUUCGUUGAUACCUUAUGAGCUAUGGACAUUUCUGGAUAACGAAUUUUGAUUUAAACACUAUAUUACAGCAUAUCCUAGCCGCUCCCUCACAAUUAUUGGAUAUUAAAAUUAACGAAAAAGUUAAACGAUUCUUUGUUUUUUUGUCGGAAAUAAAUCGCUGAGCUGUACCCUGGCAUUAUCGAUAUGCUGAAGCGUCCGUGACGCAUGAACAUGCUUACAUAAUAGACCUCAAUGGGUGACAAGACAACCACCGGAACGCGCGUCGAAUACCCUCGAUCUUAUUGCUAUUACAUUUAUUAUUGUAUCAUCAGGAAAAAUCGCGGCACGUGACUAACGAGUAAAAAUGUCCAACAUAGACUUAUCGGUCAAAAAAAGCUUCCGUCAAAAAGUUUCACAAUAACCAAAAGCCUAAAAUCAAUCUAGCACGUGGCCGCCCCCCUUUAAUAAAUACGUGUAAGCUGAUUCAUGCCCUUUGUGUACGUCUUCUACUAUUGCAAUGACAUGACUGUUGUUUUUAUUGUUAUUGUUAGGAAGCGUUUUGGCUAUUGUCAAUGCACGCUGCUGUUGUCUCUGUCGCGGUUAGAAUAGAGUGAAGCACGGUCAUCAACGGGUGCUUUGCCAAAUAACAACAACUAUCAGUCACCAGCAAGAGCUAGUUCCCGCUAAUCGUCGGCAUCAUUGAUCAUGGCAAGCCGCAGCGCCCAGGAAGGUACUGUUGCAAUGUGUGAACCAAACAAGUGAGCAGGAAGUGUGCUGCUGCUGAUACCGAUGCGGCUGGUAUACUGUUUACAGCGAUGGUCGGUACAGCGCGUUUCGUAGACGUUCAGUGACAUUGUGGUUCGACCCUUAUACCGACACUAUCAACGACACAAGCUAGCAAGUUGGCCUGGCAGGACAGGCAAGCGAAUGAUGGUCGCCUUCGACCUUCGUUGGUGGAACUCGCUUGAUAAUGAAUUAAGCAUAGAAAUCGAUGCUAUUAUUACUAAAUAAAUAAAAGCCUUGGAGUUUUACGUCCGGUACUGCCUAAUUUUAACAUUGCUUUAGACGAUUGGCCUCUUCCGCGCGGCGAACUGCGUCUACGCCCCGUUUCGAACGUGUUUGUUUACUAAAUUUAGGAUUACGUGAUUACGAAUUGAAAACGUUUUUACUUCUGCCCGAGUUGUAUAACGGCCAAAAAGCGACUCGCUCAACGAAGCUAGACAAAUCCAUUUUUUUUUUUACUAUAAUGGGCACAUUGGUGAUAUUGCCCUCAUUGCUGCUGCUGCACUCUCCAUCGCGGUUUGCAAUAGGCAGUAUGGAUUCGCUGCUAUUGCUUCUAGCGUUUAUGCUGGCCGGGCUAUUGCGAGAACCGCUAGAGCACGAACUGUCCUAGACAAAGCGGACGAAUAGCUCUUGACACUGUGUUGUCAACCACAAGAGUGCCAUGGAUGAAGCAGUGAUCAGCGAUCAGCGACGGCAGCGUGCUCCAUUUGGAUCAGCAGCUGUG